GACGAACGCUGGCGGCGUGCUUAACACAUGCAAGUCGAGCGGUAAGGCCCUUUCGGGGGUACACGAGCGGCGAACGGGUAAGUAACACGUGGGUGACCUGCCUUUAGCUCUGGGAUAAGCCUGGGAAACCGGGUCUAGUACCGGAUAUGACUCCGCGGCGCAUGUUGUGGGGUGGAAAGCCUUGUGCGGCUGGAGAUGGGCCCGCGGCCUAUCAGCUUGUUGGUGGGGUGAUGGCCUACCAAGGCGACGACGGGUAGCCGGCCUGAGAGGGCGACCGGCCACACUGGGACUGAGACACGGCCCAGACUCCUACGGGAGGCAGCAGUGGGGAAUCUUGCGCAAUGGGCGAAAGCCUGACGCAGCGACGCCGCGUGAGGGAUGAC
rnacentral:rRNA from 1 species